CAAGUGGAGUUGUCUCAAAAAACCUAAGAGACAGCAAGACAAAAGGAAAGCCACUCAUUCCAGCACCUGUUCAUGAUAGGGCAGACCUUGGAGCAAUGGGUCAGUGCUGCAUCGAGGCAGAUUGCAGCGGGCAUGAAACAACUUCCUAAGGAUGAAUUGUCCCAUUUUAAAACAUUUCACAAGGCAGUGAGCUCCUCAUCACUAGAGGUAUUCAAGGGGAGACUGGAAGACUACAUAUGGAAGAGAUUCCGGUAUUCAGGCAUUCUUAAACGCCUUGUUGCUUUGCUCCACUGCAUUCUCCUCCAUGGUUUCUAGGCUGCUGCUGGUUGAUGACAGAUGUAAUUUUGACAUCAUGGCAUGGUGGUGGACCAUGGAUGUGGAAUGCAGCAUACCUUGUCAUUCAUGGCCAACAGGGAUGUGGGAGAUUCUCAUAAAUGUCAAUAUGAACAUUUGGGCUCUUUUGGCCCAAAGGGGCAACUCAGGAAGGACAGAGAGUGAGCCUCAGGCUGAGGGUGA